ensembl:lncRNA
GGAUUCUCAGCCGUUCUCUGUUGUGGAAGAUGUUGGAUUCAAAGAGCUUGUGGCAAAAUUGGACCCCACAUAUACUCUUCGAAAAUGAAAGGCUCUCAAGGACAUGGUGGCUGCAAAGUACCAGGAGGAGAGGGAGAAGGCCAAGGCAGAGAUCCAGGGUGUUGAGACCGUGAGCCUCACAUCGGAUAUGUGGACCUCCAUUAAUAUGGACGCAUAUCUGGCUGUCACCUGCCACUAUGUCAAUCAGAAUGACCAGCUGUCCACACUUCUUCUGGGGGCCAAGCCUUUUCUGAGGACCCACACAGCGGCCCACAUUGCUGCAGAAAUUGCAGCAAUGAUAGCAGAGUGGGGUCUAGCGAACAAAAUUCGAUGCAUUGUGACGGAUUCAGUGAGCAAUAUGAAUGCCACAGCAAAUACCCUGAAUUUGAGGCAAUCCAAAUGCAUCGCGCAUUGUUUGAACCUGGUUGUGAAGAACUCCAUUGAAGCCACUCCUGGCCUGGAUGAAAUUAGAGCAUUGAGCAGGAGGAUAGUCAGUUACUUUAAAACAAGCACAACAGCAAAAGAAAGGCUGAGCCAAAUGCAGCAGCAACUGGGACGCAAUGUAAAGAAACUGAAAUUGGAAGUGGACACACGCUGGAACAGCACCCUGGAAAUGCUUCAGCACCUCUAUGAAGAGAGAGAUGCAGUGGCAUUAGCUCUGUCAUCACUAAACACAGACCUGACUCCUCUGACCCACCAGCAGCAUGAAGUCACAGGGGAAUGCAUCAAGCUGCUGGCCACAUUCCAGGUAGCAACUGUGGCGCUAUCAGAGGAGAGAAGAGUGUCAGGAUCAAAAGUCAUCCCCCUCUACCGUGUUUUAAGACACACGACUGAACAACUGUAUUCCCAGCUCAUCACCUCCAUGGCACAACACCUGGCACAGAACCUUGUCAGGUACUUAGCUGACAGACUGCAAGACAAAGAAAAAAACAGUUGACUGGCUGUUGCAACACUUGUGGAUCCGCGGUUCAAAACUUUUGGCUUCACCAAUCACAGAGUGGCAGCCAGUGUGAAAGAACAUUUAAUAACCGAAUGUACAACAAUUAUUAACAUAAAGAAGGCCAAGCAGCAGCAGCAGCAGCCAUCUACGUCUCAAGCACCGCCGCAGUCUCAUCCUCCACCACCAGCAGCACCUUCCACAGUUCAACUGUGGAGCUUAUUGGAUGAAGACGCAAAUAGGGCCUGGCAAACACAAAGUGCCACAGCCAGUGCAAUUGUCAAAAUGAACCGCUACCUGGCUGAUCCUCCCAUAGAAAGAACGGCAGACCCGCUGGCUUACUGGGCCACCCACAAAACUGUAUACCCAAACUUGUAUAAUGUCGCCAAACAUUUCCUGUGUACCCCAGCCUCAUCGGUGCCGUGUGAACAGGUUUUUUCUAAGGCUGGGGAGAUAGUGAGCAAAAGAAGAAACCGUCUGAGUCCAAAAACUGUUGAUACAUUAUUAUUUCUCAAUAAAAACUCAUAACUAGUUACAUAAGCACACCCACUGCCCUGUUUCCAAGCACACCCACUGCCCUGUUUUCAAUCACACCCACUGCCCUGUUUUCAAUCACACCCUCUUUACUGCCCUCUUUACCAAUGAACCCCAAGACAUACUUUGCCUAAAUCCAUAAUAUAAUCUGUAUUUGCACCAACCCCAUGUGAAAAUGACAUUAGUCUGUAUCUAUAGAGCACAUCUCAUGAAUGUAGCAGCACCGUUUAAAUGUUUCAUAACAGAAUAUAAGUGAAGAGUAUAUAGGGUUACAAACAGACACGGCAAAUAAGAAACAUGCCCUUCAAUAGUUAUUGUCAUUAUUAUUACUAUUAUUAUUAUUGUUAUUAUUAUUAUUGUUGUAUGCACUGGAACCCAUACAAUCAUCUAAUGUAGUCAAACAGAAAUGUGUGCAUGGCGAAUCAAAUCCAAAACAAUCCAUGAACCAAUGACCACGUCUUGAUUGCGCUUCAUUUUAUUGACCACUAGAUGUCCUACUCGAGCACUGUGUGUCAUUGAGGCC